UACGAACCGUACAAACGUUAUUCGGAAUCACUGGGCUUAAAGGGUGCGUAGGCGGCCAUGUAAGUGGGGUGUGAAAUCCCUCGGCUCAACCGAGGAACUGCGCUCCAUACUGCAUGGCUUGAGGGAGACAGGGGUAAGCGGAACUGAUGGUGGAGCGGUGAAAUGCGUUGAUAUCAUCAGGAAUACCGGAGGCGAAGGCGGCUCACUGGGUCUCUUCUGACGCUGAGGAACGAAAGCUAGGGGAGCAAACGGG
rnacentral:rRNA from 1 species